CCAACCGGUGGCUAAGAUUAGCCAGCUAACGCAAUUCGCUAAUCACUGUAACGUUCCCUUAGCUUAGCUAAAUAAAAUAAGAAAGCAACGUUGGCUUUUAAAAACAUAUUUUACUCUCUUCGAAGUCACACACAUGGCUGCAUUAACAGUUUAAAACCAAUUGUUGAGCUGACAUAAACGGCUACACUGUGCUAUUCACUAGCUACCAUGUAAAGUUAGCUAGCUAUAACUUCAUGUACUAGUGGCACUCCAGGUAAUAGCCGAAGCCCACUUAGCACGGCAACUCACCGAGAGUUAAGUUACUGCGCUUUUCAGAUCAGAGAUAACUUCACAGAGAGUUGGCGAUAAAGAUAGGAAGAACAAGCGUGCCAAGUAUCAGUCAAUGUCCAGGCGCAUAUUAGUCCUGCCAGAGCAUAGCCUUUCUCCUGGGCUCCAACUCCUGGUAUGAUUCACCCCGAGGGUUCAGGUCAUCCUCUCUGCCCACCUGCAGGAGUGCAGCCUCGCUUUCUCCAUCCUUACAUAUGGUCGACCGGCCUAUGAGCUCUGCCAUGCAGUGGCGAGAAGCCUGAGAGUAUUUGGGGGAUCACCUAUACCUGGCUGGAGACCACAUGGAAGAGCCAGUCUAGACCUCUGUGCGAGCCAGCUCUCUCCCGUUGAGGAGCUCUCCGACCUCCUAAACUUCUGCCACAACAUCUGUCCAAUGUUAUGGCAGACUAGGGGAAAAGGACUCAAGAGCAGACUCAGGGCAGGUUUCAAUCCAGGAAUUCAGAGUUUAUUGAAAAGUGGGGUGUGAGCAGACCAGAGGGCAGACCAGGGAAAGGCGACCAGCAGGUGAACCUCCGGGCAGGCGGAGAGCUGAGUGAGGCAGAGCCAGGAUUUCCAGGUAGGCGGUGGGCUGAGUGAGGCAAUGGCAGGAUUUCCAGGCAGGCAGUGAGCGGGGUAUGGCAGCGAUCCUGAGCACAGGGAGACAAGGCAGCCUUGGCAGCUGCUGUAGCACUACAGCAGUCACAGAUCACCUCCAGUAGUAUCAGCACCAAAAGCAGCAGCAGCA